CAAAUAUGCAAACAUGCAAAACAUGCAAGAAGAGGCAAAUUCGGUGUUCAAGCGCUUUGAAACGUGUCCCUCUGCGUGCGCCCUGUGCGCA